GGACUGGUAGUCUAGCAGGUAUGAUUAUGCCUUCACACGGCGUAGGUCAUGGGUUCAAAUCCCAUCCAGUCCA
rnacentral:tRNA from 1 species